AUUAGCAUAAUAAUAUAAUAUAUGCUAAGACUCUCUACACCUUAACUACACAUCCUCACUCGAGCUUUCUCAUCACAUACAUAACCAUGGAACACCUAACUCGCAGCCACAAAGGCACACGGGUUAGAACAUCCAAUAUAACUGACAUGUAACCCUCAUAUGGCGUCACAUGACGGAGCAUGCUUUCUAGCAACCUCUCCGUACAGAGCAUG
rnacentral:lncRNA from 1 species